AUGGCAGGCGCUGGGGGUAGCCUUGGUAGGAUGCCUGAGGGGCUCAGUAGCUCUUUCUCCCCUCGCCAGGCUCUCACUCCUUCACAUAUACGGCACUUACAUCACCUUACAGCGAAUCACAGAACCUUUUAAUUAAGUAGCUGGAGACGACACCACUACAGGUGUAUGUGAGCGUCGGGACAAGGUCACCAUGAUGAGUCAGCGAACACUGAUGAUCCUGGCCCUGGCGGCUCUCCUCCUCCACCAGUCUGUGAGCGGUACGGCGGUGUGUUCAGGGGAGUGUCAGCGGAUGGACUCCACAGGCCGCUGCCGGACCCUGUUCUCCUGCGGUGCCACCGAGGUCCCCAGGGCCAUUUCCUCAGUGAUAAUGAUUCCCUGCAGACAGCGAUGUUACACCCUAGUCCGCGGCCGCUGUCGCCUCAAGUUCUCAUGCUUACUCGGCUAAUUUGCACUUCCAUGGCGACUAUGGAUAUUUAACUGAAUGAAUGUUUAUUUGGGAAUUAUUUAGACUAAUUAAUUCAUAUAUAAAUAUUAAUGUUACCAGAUGAAACCUUCCCUCCAUUUCUUUUGGGGCAUAUUUUCUGAUUAAUGUUACUGGAAGUGUUGGUUGCUGAGGAUUGAGAUACGAAUUAGAUACAUUCUCUUGUGUAAAUUACGUUUAUGAAACCCUUUUU